UCUUGUUUUAAACCAAGAUCGAAGGCCAGC
rnacentral:piRNA from 1 species